rnacentral:rRNA from 1 species
AUUGAACGCUGGCGGCAGGCCUAACACAUGCAAGUCGAGCGGAUGAAGGGAGCUUGCUCCUGGAUUCAGCGGCGGACGGGUGAGUAAUGCCUAGGAAUCUGCCUGGUAGUGGGGGAUAACGUCCGGAAACGGGCGCUAAUACCGCAUACGUCCUGAGGGAGAAAGUGGGGGAUCUUCGGACCUCACGCUAUCAGAUGAGCCUAGGUCGGAUUAGCUAGUUGGUGGGGUAAAGGCCUACCAAGGCGACGAUCCGUAACUGGUCUGAGAGGAUGAUCAGUCACACUGGAACUGGACCACGGUCCAGCCUCCUACGGGAGGCAGCAGUGGGGAAUAUUGGACAAUGGGCGAAAGCCUGAUCCAGCCAUGCCGCGUGUGUGAAGAAGGUCUUCGGAUUGUAAAGCACUUUAAGUUGGGAGGAAGGGCAGUAAGUUAAUACCUUGCUGUUUUGACGUUACCAACAGAAUAAGCACCGGCUAACUUCGUG